GAUGAAGAACGUAGCGAAAUGCGAUAAGUAAUGUGAAUUGCAGAAUUCAGUGAAUCAUCGAAUCUUUGAACGCACCUUGCGCCCUUUGGCCAUUCCGAAGGGCAUGCCUGUUUGAGUAUCAUGAACACCUCAACUCUUCAUGGUUUUCCGUGAUGAGCUUGGACUUUGGGGGUCUUGCUGGCCUAUGGUCAGCUCCUCUAAAAUAAAUCAGCUUGCCAGUGUUCGGUGGGUAUCACAGGUGUGAUAACUAUCUACGCUUGUGGUUUUCCACCAGGUAACCUUCAGCAGUGGAGGUUCGCUGGAGCUCACAGAUGUGUCUCUCCUCAGUGAGGACAGCUCUUUGAAUGUUUGAUCUCAAAUCAGGUAGGACUACCCGCUGAACUUAAGCAUAUCAAUAAGCGGAGGA
rnacentral:misc_RNA from 1 species